rnacentral:lncRNA from 1 species
CCCGGCGCCGGUUCCGCUUGCUCUCCCGGGACUUGGAGCGCUUCCUUGCCCGCUCCUUUUCUCGGGAGCGGGACCGCGAUCGGCUCCGGUUCUUCUUGUUGUGCUUGGAGCUCUUGGUGUGCUUGGAGCGGGACGAGCUCCGGCUGCGGGACCGACCCAUCCCGACAGAGGAGAGGCCGCGCCGGCGACCGCUCGACCACCCCCGCCCCCUUUGCUAGCGGCGCCCGGGAGAGGUGCGAGGAGUCUCUGCGCGCAUCAGCACCUCCCGGGCUGGCCCUUCGUCUUCUCUCGUUCCUCCGCUUUGCGCUGCGAGGAGAAGGAACAGGCCCCGGGAGCAGGACCGAGUCCGGACGCAGCCAAGAUGGCGGCCCUCGCUGAGCAGUGACUCUCCUCUCCCGCCCCACAAUGCACCGCGCCGUGCUCGAGCCGUUCGCUCCCCNNNNNNNNNNNNNNNNNNNNCCAAUGGCGAGCGCCGCGCCGAGCGGGGCCCUCGGCCGCGGUGGCGGCGAGCGCGCCGGCUGAGAGGGUCGCCUCAGAGAGAAUUGCUGUGUUUCUUUUAAUUGAAAGUUCUCUCAAACGUUGAUUGUUUUCUUUUUGUUUUGUUGCGGGGAAGAGAUGGAAUUAUCACUGCAGAUCACGGAAGUUGCGAAAAACACUUAGAGCCCCCACUAAAUGGUCAAGUAACAGCAGAGUAAUGGACAUGGUGAAACCUGCACGGCAGGAAUUCCAGUGCCAAAGGCCCAGGGCACUCUUGUUUGUCCCUAGCCUUGGGGAAGCUCAUGCAACAGCUCUUUGGAGUUCUGAGCUGCUAAGCUGCAGAGGUAGGGAGAUGAAACACCCUGGCAGAACUGGAGACUGGCAGAACAGCUGUGAGGAAGGCAUGGCAGGAGCAUGGAACAGUUGUCAGAAAGAAAAAUACCCUUUCUAAGACUUGAGAGAAUAUGUCACUAAAGCUCUGCUUCAAAGGACUGUUAAAAAAGGGAAAACACUUUAAUUGAAAGAAUGUAGAGGAAAUGCUGUAAAAUGAGAAAUUAAGUAAAUGGGAGAGAGUUUUCACAUUGUACCUAUACAGGAAAGUUGAGUAGAUUGUAUGCAUAAGUAUAGUUAUUAGGUAAAAUAACUAUUUUCCUGUUUUCCAUAUGCUCAGAUGAUAAUCAUGUCCUUGGAAAUAAGCAAUACUGUACAGAAUACUGUUGAAAGUGUUUGGUAAUUUGAAUAUGCAAAAAGGCACAGCUUGAGUAAUCAGGACUAGUGUGUGUGUAUAUAUGAUAUUCAAAUUAAUUUAAAACAAUAUCUAGUUUCUUUCCCAUGUGGAUUUAAUUUUAGAAAAGAAAUAAAAUGGCCAAGCUAUGAUCA